rnacentral:misc_RNA from 1 species
GUCUCAGUACCCCUUCAACUCUGCUGCCGCAGCUGAAACAUCUUCCCGUGGAAGCGCCAUGGCUUCAGAGAAGAAAUUGAGCAAUCCCAUGAGGGAUAUCAAGGUCCAGAAGCUUGUCCUCAAUAUCUCCGUCGGUGAGAGUGGAGAUCGACUCACCAGAGCAGCGAAAGUCUUGGAGCAACUCAGCGGUCAAUCCCCUGUUUUCUCUAAGGCAAGGUAUACUGUGCGGUCCUUUGGAAUCAGGCGUAAUGAAAAGAUAGCUUGCUAUGUGACUGUCAGAGGGGAGAAAGCUAUGCAGCUUCUUGAGAGUGGAUUGAAAGUUAAGGAAUACGAGUUGUUGAGAAGGAACUUCAGU